rnacentral:rRNA from 1 species
AUGUUCAGUGUGUAUUUACAAAAAAUAUCACAUACUAAAAAGUUCACUUGUAGCUGCAAUCCGGUCGUAGUUGUAUACUUCUGUAUUUCUUUUCGAACCCUCCACAGACUGUUCGGUAAGAUGAAAGAUGUUGAGAUCACCCAAUCUCAAGAUCAAAAACCCCGGCUGCGAGUCGCCCCUCUGACCUUGCACGCCGCUCCUGGUCGGCCAUGGCUCCUAAUUCUGGCUUUCCUCCUUACGUGGAGGAGCCAUGCACUGCUAAUGUAUAAUCUCUUGUUUUUGAUAAUUUCGCAUAAUGUGUGGGACUUGAUAAAGCUUGGAGAUUAUCUUAGUGCAAGGGAUGAUGUCGAUCCCUCUAGGAUAGGGAUUAUUGGUGAAUCACUCGGAGUAAAGCAAUGCUCUUUGUGGUGGCUACAGGGAUUUCAAUGGGCAAUAGAUAAUGACAUGUGGCAAGCUAGAGUUGAUAGCAUUAAGCAUUUAUUUGAAGAAGCAAGAAUUGAUUCAGGGAAGAGUGAAAUAGAUGCAGAGGUUGUGAAAAAGGUUUGGGACAAGAUAGCACCUGCUACGGCUUCACAGUUUGAUGCUCCCUACUCAGUUCCUCUGAUUGCACCACGUCCACUCCUCCUCCUAAAUGGUGCGGACGACCCUCGUUGCCCUGUCCUUGGUCUACAAGAACUUGCCUCCAAAGCUGUCGAGGCUUAUGCAGAAGCUGGUUCUGCGGAUAAGUUCAAGACGAGUGUUGCCACGGGAAAACAUGUGGCGACUUCCCACAUGGCUGUUGCAAUAGCACAAUUUAUUGCCACAGUUGCUUUUUUGUGGCAAUAA